rnacentral:lncRNA from 1 species
AACAUUUCACAAAAGACAUGUCACGAUACUCAUACAAUAUUCUGACUUAAGGCGGACCAAUCGGUGUUCCUCCAACAAAGGUCAUGCUUGACAGAAGGAUAUUAAACAUGUUAAAUAACAUUUACCAAAACUUUGGUUUUACCUCUCCGGAUAAAUAUUCAGUACAAUUCCAAAUAUAAAACAGUCGCUAUCAUGAAUUGGGAUAUGAUAGUUGAUAACAGCGUUUCUCUCCUCCAACUAACCUGUGGAUUGUUAAAUAAAAAAUUAUUAAAAUUUUUCAAAGAUUACUGCCAUCAGGAACGCACAAACCAAAGGAUUUGAAAGACAACAUUACUGAUUUAUAAAGCCC